rnacentral:rRNA from 1 species
UACGUAGGGUGCAAGCGUUGUCCGGAAUUAUUGGGCGUAAAGAGCUCGUAGGCGGUUUGUCGCGUCUGCCGUGAAAGUCCGGGGCUCAACUCCGGAUCUGCGGUGGGUACGGGCAGACUAGAGUGAUGUAGGGGAGACUGGAAUUCCUGGUGUAGCGGUGAAAUGCGCAGAUAUCUGGAGGAACACCGGUGGCGAAGGCGGCAUCCUGGACCAAUUCUGACGCUGAGGAGCGAAAGCCAGGGGAGCAAAGCGGG